GAUGAACGCUGGCGGCGUGCCUAAUACAUGCAAGUCGAGCGAAUGGAUUAAGAGCUUGCUCUUAUGAAGUUAGCGGCGGACGGGUGAGUAACACGUGGGUAACCUGCCCAUAAGACUGGGAUAACUCCGGGAAACCGGGGCUAAUACCGGAUAAUAUUUUGAACUGCAUGGUUCAAAAUUGAAAGGCGGCUUCGGCUGUCACUUAUGGAUGGACCCGCGUCGCAUUGGCUAGUUGGUGAGGUAACGGCUCACCAAGGCAACGAUGCGUAGCCGACCUGGGAGGGUGAUCCGCCACACGGGGACUGAGACACGGCCCAGACCCCGACGGGAGGCAGGAGUAGGAAAUCUUCCGCAAUGGACGAAGGUCUGACGGAGCAACGCCGCGUGGGGGAUGAAGGCUUUCGGGUCGUAAACCUCGGUUGUUAGGGAAGAAAAAGUGCUAGUUGAAUAAGCUGGCACCUUGACGGUACCUACCCAGAAAGCCACGGCUAACUACGUGCCAGCCGCCGCAGUAA
rnacentral:rRNA from 1 species